GGAGGUUUAGCUCAGUUGGGAGAGCAACUGCCUUACAAGCAGUGGGUCAGCGGUUCAAGUCCGUUAACCUCCACCA
rnacentral:tRNA from 1 species